rnacentral:rRNA from 1 species
UACGUAGGGUGCAAGCGUUGUCCGGAAUUAUUGGGCGUAAAGAGCUCGUAGGCGGUUUGUCGCGUCUGCUGUGAAAACCCGAGGCUCAACCUCGGGCCUGCAGUGGGUACGGGCAGACUAGAGUGCGGUAGGGGAGAUUGGAAUUCCUGGUGUAGCGGUGGAAUGCGCAGAUAUCAGGAGGAACACCGAUGGCGAAGGCAGAUCCCUGGGCCGUAACUGACGCUGAGGAGCGAAAGCAUGGGGAGCGAACAGG